CUCAGGGCUGAGUGUUGUUGGCAGGUUUUCCCCUACUUCCCUCGCUGAGGGCGUUCGUGGGAGGGAAAUCUUUCAGAGACGAGUUCCCUGAGCGGGGAUGGUGGCUGGAGCACAGCACGUCCGUGGCGUUUGGGAAGCGAUGGCUGUGGUCCCGCCUGGCUUGAUGGGGCUUGAAGUCGCUGUGACAAGGACUCCGUGUGGACCUGGAUUCAGUUCCCCCAUGGUCCUCAGGAGCACACGUAUGGUGGGAGACCACGAAAUAAAGCCAUUCCGGGAUGGUGUGAUGGAUGCUUUACCGAACCUAAAAGGAGACGAAGGAGUCCUUCUGGAUGAGGUUCAGCUGAGAUCCCAGUGGAUGCCAUGUUCCAAAGCGGAGCCUGAGGCCCCACACAGGAGGUGGUGGAGAUCAAAGCUGUUUUUCGGUAAACAGCGAGGACCUGCCAUAUAACACAGGGACCUAUAUUCAAUAUCUCGUACCUAUAAUGGAAAAGAAUCGGAAAAGGAAUACAUAUGUAUGUAUAUAUAUAUAUGUAUUUAUAUUUAUAUAUAACUGAACCAUCUUGCUAUACACCUGAAACUAACACAACAUUGUAAAUCAACUAUACUUCAAUUAAAAACAUGAAAAAUAAAAGUAACAAACCCAUUGCA
rnacentral:lncRNA from 1 species